ACGGAAGGCAGCAGUAGGGAAUCUUCGGCAAUGGGGGCAACCCUGACCGAGCAGCGCCGCGUGAGUGAAGAAGGUUUUCGGAUCGUAAAGCUCUGUUGUAAGAGAAGAACGUGUGUGAGAGUGGAAAGUUCACACAGUGACGGUAACUUACCAGAAAGGGACGGCUAACUACGUGCCAGCAGCCGCGGUAAUACGUAGGUCCCGAGCGUUGUCCGGAUUUAUUGGGCGUAAAGCGAGCGCAGGCGGUUUAAUAAGUCUGAAGUUAAAGGCAGUGGCUUAACCAUUGUUCGCUUUGGAAACUGUUAGACUUGAGUGCAGAAGGGGAGAGUGGAAUUCCAUGUGUAGCGGUGAAAUGCGUAGAUAUAUGGAGGAACACCGGUGGCGAAAGCGGCUCCCUGGUCUGUAACUGACGCUGAGGCUCGAAAGCGUGGGUAGCAAACAGGAUUAGAUACCCUGGUA
rnacentral:rRNA from 1 species